UUGCUGAUCUUUAGAACAGCAAGCAAGUAUCACACCUUUGCUACAGGACCAGAAAACUGCAACAGCUCAUUCCACCAGUUCCAGGUGGGAGGCAGCGCUGAACCAGCCAAACAGGACUGGCGGAAAGGGUUCCAAGGGUGUUUCAGAACAAAGGAAGACUUUAGACCUCCAGUUUGUGCCUCUUGUCCUGUCACCGGACACCACAGAGAAGAGAAAUUUUAGGCAAAACUCAAUCGUAACCACGGCAAAAUGGAAGAAGUAGAAGUUGAA